rnacentral:rRNA from 1 species
GAGUUUGAUCCUGGCUCAGGAUGAACGCUGGCGGCGUGCCUAAUACAUGCAAGUCGAGCGAACGGACGAGAAGCUUGCUUCUCUGAUGUUAGCGGCGGACGGGUGAGUAACACGUGGAUAACCUACCUAUAAGACUGGGAUAACUUCGGGAAACCGGAGCUAAUACCGGAUAAUAUUUUGAACCGCAUGGUUCAAAAGUGAAAGACGGUCUUGCUGUCACUUAUAGAUGGAUCCGCGCUGCAUUAGCUAGUUGGUAAGGUAACGGCUUACCAAGGCAACGAUGCAUAGCCGACCUGAGAGGGUGAUCGGCCACACUGGAACUGAGACACGGUCCAGACUCCUACGGGAGGCAGCAGUAGGGAAUCUUCCGCAAUGGGCGAAAGCCUGACGGAGCAACGCCGCGUGAGUGAUGAAGGUCUUCGGAUCGUAAAACUCUGUUAUUAGGGAAGAACAUAUGUGUAAGUAACUGUGCACAUCUUGACGGUACCUAAUCAGAAAGCCACGGCUAACUACGUGCCAGCAGCCGCGGUAAUACGUAGGUGGCAAGCGUUAUCCGGAAUUAUUGGGCGUAAAGCGCGCGUAGGCGGUUUUUUAAGUCUGAUGUGAAAGCCCACGGCUCAACCGUGGAGGGUCAUUGGAAACUGGAAAACUUGAGUGCAGAAGAGGAAAGUGGAAUUCCAUGUGUAGCGGUGAAAUGCGCAGAGAUAUGGAGGAACACCAGUGGCGAAGGCGACUUUCUGGUCUGUAACUGACGCUGAUGUGCGAAAGCGUGGGGAUCAAACAGGAUUAGAUACCCUGGUAGUCCACGCCGUAAACGAUGAGUGCUAAGUGUUAGGGGGUUUCCGCCCCUUAGUGCUGCAGCUAACGCAUUAAGCACUCCGCCUGGGGAGUACGACCGCAAGGUUGAAACUCAAAGGAAUUGACGGGGACCCGCACAAGCGGUGG